UAUUUAGUUUAAAAUUCAAGCAAUAAUUAAGUCAUCGCUCGUCAGCUCCUACAUUCCCUUAUUCAGUAUUCACUAACCUUUACUCAUCCAUAACCAGCACUCCUCCAUCUUUCUGUUAGUUCUCUGCUUCCUCUCUUCAUUUGGCUCUCUAAUUCUUUAGCGACUGUUUUGCUUUUCUGUUGAUUUCAGCAGUCCUUUCUUGUCUUUAUUUUCUUUUAUUUUGUUCGACUCUGAUUUCUUGGUUUAUUUUGUUUUUGCUCUGAGAUUUCAAAAAAAAAAAAAAAAAAUCAAAAUGGUUCUCGAUAUCUUUAUCUCCAUCUUCACUGAGGUCAUUAAAGAACCCAUCAUGGAAUUUGUUGUUGUCCCAAUCAAACGACAUAUCAGCUACCCUUUCACCUACAAGAGCAAGGUUGAGAAACUCCAUCAUGAGUCUGAGAAAUUGAAGAACAGAAAAGUCAAGUUGCAGCGGGCUGUUGAGGAGGCUACAAGGAAAGGGGAAGAGAUCGAUGAAAGUGUCAACAAGUGGCUGAACGAUGCAGGCAAAGCAAUUGAAGAAGCUGAGGAAUGUAUCAAAGGCGAAGAACAAGCGAAAAAGAGGUGUUUCGUUGGAUUAUGUCCUGAUUUGAAGACACGCUACCACCUUAGCAAGAAAGCAGAGAAGAAAGCUCUGGCAAUUCAUGAGCUUGCGAGUGAAGACGACCAUAAUCCAAUUUCCUUCCCUCCCCAUCCACAGCAGAUAGUUGCCCCGUCAGUAUAUGCUCGUGAGGGCUUGAAUUCAAGAGAGUUGUUCUUGGAGAAAGUUAUGGAUGCACUAUUAGAUCCAGAUCUUAAUAUGAUCGGGGUGUAUGGACUUGGAGGUGUGGGUAAGACCACCCUAGCAAAACAGGUCCACAGAAAAGCUCUUGAAGGGAAGCGAUUCGGCGUCGUCGCUAUGGUUGCUGUAGGUCAAACACCAGAACUCCGAAGAAUUCAAUCGGAGAUCGCUGAUAUCCUGGGCUUGGAAUUUAAGUCGGAGGAAAUACCUGGAAGAGCUAAUCGGCUAUAUGAGAGGUUGAAGAAAGAGUUGGAGAAAGAGAAGACAGAGUUGGAGAAAGAGAAGAAGGUACUUAUAAUUCUUGAUGAUGUUUGGAAAAAACUUGAUUUGAAUGCCGUAGGAAUUCCCUUUGGAGAUGGUUUCAAAGGAUGCAAAAUACUUCUCACCUCAAGGAGCCAAGACGUGUUAUCUCGCAAGAUGGGCACACAGCAAGAAUUCAAGCUCGACGUUCUACAGGACGAAGAGGCCCGGAGUUUGUUUGAAAUAACUGUAGCAGGUGCUAAAGAUUCAGAAUUGCCCCCUAUCGCCGCAGAAAUUGCUAAAAAAUGUGCAGGAUUGCCUCUUCUACUGCUCACAGUGGCGACAGACUUGAGAAACAGAGAGUUGUACGCGUGGAAUGAUAAGCUCAAUCAGCUAUCCGAGUUUGACAACGAAGAAAUAUAUUCGAAAGUGCACGCGAUUCUGGAGUCAAGCUACAAUAAUUUGUGUAGCAAUGAAGUCAAGUCGUUUUUCUUGCUCUGUGGUCUGAUAGGACAAUCUAAUAUUGAAAUCCAGUCCUUGCUGAAAUACGUUAUGGGUCUUAGUUUAUUCAAGAACAUUUCCACUGUCCAGGGAGCAAGAAACAAAGUAUAUAGUUUGAUUGAUACCCUUAAAGCGCAGAGCUUAUUGCUAGAUGGCGACAUGUAUGGAUUCGUUAAAAUUCAUGAUGUUGUUCGAGAUACUGCUCUCAAUAUUGCAUCUAGAGAGCAACAUGCGUUUAUAGUUACAAGUGGCAUGGAAUUGGUGAAAUUCCCAAAUAAGGAUUGCACCAGAAUUUCUCUGCCGUAUUGUGAAAUUGAAAAUCUCCCCGAAGGAUGGGAGUGCCCAAAAGCAGAGGCACUAUUCCUUUUCACAGAAGUUUUUUGUUUGGGAAUUCCACAUCAGUUUUUCAAGGGCAUUAGAAACCUGGAAGUAGUGGAUUUUACUGGGAUCCAUUUUGUCUCCCUCCCUUCAUCGCUUGCUUUCCUAUCCAACCUUCAUACCCUUUGCUUGCAUCGAUGCCAACUGGACGACUUAGCUAUCAUUGGAGACUUGCAGCAACUACGAGUUCUUAGUUUUGCUAACUCCUACGUUGUUGAGUUGCCCAGACAAAUAGAGCAACUGGCUCGACUAAAAGUCUUAGAUGUGAGCAAUUGUUCCAAACUCAAAAUGAUUCCAGCAAAUGCCUUAUCAAAGCUGUCGGAGCUCGAAGAACUGUACAUGAGUAACAGCUUUGUUGAGUGGGAGGCCGAUGGGAACAAUGCAAGCCUUGCGGAGUUGGAAAAGUUGUCUCAGUUGACUACCUUGGAAAUGCAAAUACUGGAUGACAAGAUAUUACCAAAACACUUGUUCUCCAAUGGCCGCUUGCAGACCUUUAGAAUACUAAUAGGGGAUAACUGGGACUGGGAUGACAACUAUAAAACCUCCAGAGCGCUGAAACUUAAGCUCAAGGCAAGCAUUCAUUCAGGAUACGGGAUUAAAGUGCUAUUGAGGGAGACGGAAGAUUUAUGCUUAGAUGAAGUGAGGGAGGCUGAGAACUUGUUGUAUGAUAUUGACGGGGACGGCUUUCCAAAAUUGAAGCAUCUCCGAGUUCAAAAUAAUCAUGCCAUUCAACAUAUCAUCAAUUCGAUGAAGUGGGCUGUAUGUGAUGCCUUUCCAAUUCUAGAGUCCUUGAUUUUGGAAAAUUUGAUGAAGUUGGAAAAGAUCUAUCAUGGUCGACUCGCAGCAGGAUCUUUUAAUAAAUUAGAAAUUUUGCAAGUAAAAAAUUGUCAGAGAUUGACGCAUCUCUUCUCAUUAUCUGCUGUCAAGUGUCUUUUGCAACUACAGGAAAUGAAAGUGGAAGAUUGUCCUCAGAUGAAAGCUAUUGUUAUUGAUGAAAGUGAAAGCAGUAAUGAAGUGUUUGAGUUCAAUGGCUUGCGCUCCUUAAAUUUGCGAAAUCUUCCAAAUCUUAGAACUUUUCACAGCCCAUUGAAAAUUGAAGAAUUUCUAUCAGAACGGGAUGAUGAUACUCAUUUAUCAUUUUUUAGCAGAACGGUUUCUUUCCCCAACUUGGAGCAUCUUGAAUUAAAUUCAGUUGGUUGUGAAAAGAUAUGGCACGACCAACUUUCUGCAACUUCUUCAAAAUUAGAGAGCUUGUCUGUGUGUUGUUGCCACGAGUUGAAGCAUUUAUUUACAACUUCAAUUGUUAAAAGACUCUUGCAACUCAAAACACUUCAAAUUUAUAUUUGUAGUUCCAUGGAAGAGAUAAUACUGACUGAGGAAUUUAUAGAAGAGGAAGAUGAGAGGAUGAAUCAGAUACUCUUCCCUAAAUUGAAUGAGCUGAGUCUAUAUGAUCUUCCAAAGUUGAUUAGAUUCUGCACUGGAUAUCAAAUUGAAUUUCAAUCUCUUAGAUACUUGGACAUAAGCUAUUGCAAUGCAUUGAUGGGCUUGGUCCCCAGUGUCCCUCAUAAAGGCAUGAUGGAAAAACAAGAUGACACAGAGAUAAAUCAGAAUGCUGAAAUUCAAUCUCUUUUCAACAAAAUGGUUGGUUUUCCUAACUUGGAGAGAUUGAGUCUCUCCGGACUAAAUGAGUUCAAAAGGAUAUGGCACAGUCCACUUGCGGCAAAUUCCUUCUUUAAACUGAAAUCAUUGAAUGUUGUUUAUUGCCAGAAAUUGAUGGCUGUUUUUCCAUCAAAUGACUUAGAAAGAUUCCGAAGAAUGCAGGAGUUGAUUGUGAGCAAUUGUGCUUCAUUGCAAGAGAUAUAUCAACUUGAAGGGUCCAAUGUUGAUGAAGCAUUUGAGUUGAGAAAAUUAAAUAUAAGUGAACUGGGAUCGUUGAAAUAUGUAUGGAGGAAGGAUCCACAAGCAGUUUUCAGUUUUCAAAAUUUGAAAUCAGUUACAGUUUCACAUUGUGACGUUCUAAACUAUCUGUUUCCAGCCUCCAUUGCUGAUGGUCUUUUGCAACUUGAAGAGCUUACAAUAACUACGUGUGGGGUUGAGGAGAUUAUUGCAGAGGCGGAAGAUGUGGAACAAGCCCCUUAUUAUUGUUUUAAAUUUCCUCAACUAACAUUUCUUGAACUUACAGAUCUAUCAGAAUUAAGGAGUUGGUAUCCAGGAACACAUAUUCUUGAAUUGCAGAAAUUAACAAGUUUGAAUGUUCGUAAUUGUAACAAAAUAAUAAAAUUCAGUUUGCAGGAAAUAGACGAAGAGGGCAAACGACCCCUACUUUUUUUGAAAAAGAUGAGUCCCAACUUGGAGGAAUUGACUUUAGAGCACAAGGACUUGAUUGCGAUACAGCAAGGACAAUUCUUUUCUAAACUCAAAAUGCUUACUUUGAUCAACUUACAGAACAAAUCAUGCCCUUUUAUAAUUGGUUUCCUUGAAAGGUUAUAUUCUGUGGAAACAAUUUUGGUAAAAGGUUAUAAUACUUCAGAAGAGUUAGAAGAGUUGUUCUCAUAUGAAGGACUUGCCGGAAAAGAAGAAGAACAUGCCAGGACACUUGCACGAGUGAAAAAUUUGAAGCUAGAUGUCGUUUAUAAUUUAAAGCAUAUAUGGGACCCAGACUCCGGACUGAAACCACUUCUUCAGUAUCUCGAGACUUUGAGUGUAUCGGGUUGUCAUAGUUUGAUCAACGUAGCACCAUCCUCAUCAUCUUUCCAAAAUCUAGCAACUCUUGAAGUGAGUUACUGUGCAGGAUUGGCAAACUUGAUAACAGCGUCCACAGCCAAAUCCAUGGUGCAACUCACCAAAAUGACAGUACGAGGGUGCAAAAUGAUGACAGAAAUAGUGACCAGCGAUGGAGAUGAUCAUACAGAGGAUGAGAUUAUUAAUUUUGACAAACUGAAAUGUUUGGAACUUGAUGAUCUGCCUGGUCUCAUCAGCUUUUGCUCCGGCAAUAAUGCCUUCAAUUUUCCAGCUUUAGAAAAUGUUACCGUCAAGCGAUGCUCCCGGAUGAAGUUUUUCGCUUUCGGAGAUCUAAAUACACCAAAGCUACGAGGAAUACUCCUGGGAGAUCAACAGCGUUGGGAGGGAAACCUUAAUGCAACACUAGCAGAAAUGAGAGUUGACCAAUAUUUUAAAGCAUCUAAAUUUCCUGAGCUCUGGCAUGAUGGGAUGCAAGGGAGACUCUUACGCAAUGUGGAAAGGCUUGAGGUGGAUAAAUGUGCAAUGUAUAACAAAGCUAUACCAUCCAAUGUACUGGUGUUUUUAAACAACUUGAAAAAGCUUGAGGUGAAAGACUGUGAUUCAGCAGAUGUAGUAUUUGAUUUGGAAGGGGUAUCAGCUGAUGAUGGGCUGCUUCCCCAACUAUGUGAAUUGAAAUUAACAAGUCUGCCAAUGUUGAGACAUUUAUGGAAUAAGGAGCCUCAGGGAAUUUUGGAGUUCAAGAACCUAAGGUUGCUCCAAGUUGGAAACUGUAGCAGCUUGAAGUAUAUAUUUACUGAGUCGAUAGCAUUGUGCCUCUUGCAACUUGAAAAGAUAGAGAUAUACAAUUGUAAGAUGAUUGAAGGAAUCAUAGAAAAGGAAGAAAUUGAGGAAGCAGCUGAUAAGAUGAUAUUGCCUUCGUUGAAAUCUGUAGUCCUUAAAUGUUUGCCUAGAUUCUCCAGAUUCUGUUCAGGAUGGAGUAAUGUGGAAUGUCCAUUGUUGGAGGAGAUGAGCAUACAUAAAUGUCCAAGCUUAAAGAAUAUCUUUGCCACACAGACACUGGUGAACACAAUUAAUGAGAUGUUUCCAAAUUUGGAAAAGUUUUCGUUAGACAAGAAGUCUACCAUAACCAUACUUGGAUUUCAAUUUCCAACAGGCUUCUUUUCCAAAGUAAAAGUUCUUGAAUUGAGUUUCUUUCAAAACAAAUAUCAUGUUCCUCUUUUUAGUUUACUUCCAAUAUUCCCCAAUCUCGAAAGAUUUGAAGUUCUUGAUUCUUCUCUCAACGAGCUACUUCCAUUUGAAGGACUGGUUGGUGACCAAGAAGAUAUCACUACAAUCCCACAUAUAAGAGCUUUAACUCUUAAAAUUCUUCCUGGUUUGAAGCAUAUAUGGAACCCAGAUGGCCAACUGCAUGACCCAUUAUUUCAGUCUCUUGAGACUUUUGAGAUAUGGUUUUGUGGAAAUUUGAUUGUUUUAGCACCAUCCUCUGUGUCUUUGGGAAAUCUGAAAACUCUCAAAGUAUUUGGAUGCAAGACAUUGGCAAAUAUUUUUACAUCAGCCGCAGCCAAAAGUAUGGUACAACUUGAGACAUUGAUUGUAACACAUUGCAAUAUGUUGACCGAAAUAAUAGGAGGUGUUGAAGAGGAUGGAUCAACUGAUGAGAUUGUUUUCAGUAAAAUGAAAACAUUAAAACUUGAAGUUUUACAGAACCUCACAGGCUUCUGCUUGGGUAGUUACAUUUUCAAUUUCCCAUCUUUAGAACAGGUGACUGUUUUUAGAUGCCCCAAGUUGAGGAUUUUCACUGUCCGCAAGCCGAGCACACCAAAGAUACAUGGUGUAUUCACAGGCCACAGAUUGAGUCGAACAUUUCUUCAUUGGGAAGGCGAUCUCAAUGCGACCAUUGAACAGAUUUACAUGAAAUAUAUUGGAUUUAAAGAGAUAUAUGAUAUUCAACUCUCCAACUUUCCCAUGCUGAAAGAAAAAUGGCAUGGCCAAUUUCCAUUCAAGAACUUGAGGCACAUAUGGAGACUGGUGGUGGACGAGUGUGCAUUUUUCUCAAAUGCCAUAUCAUCAAAUCUACUAAAGCACUUGUCCCGUUUAAAUGAGUUGGCCGUAGAACGAUGUGAUUCAGUAGAAGACCUGUUUGAUUUAGAAGGACUAAAUGAUGAUGAAGAUAACGAUGGGUUAUUGAAGUCUUUAAAAGAAUUGAGGUUAAUUGAUUUGCCUAGAUUGAGGCAUGUGUGGAACAAGGAUCCUCAAGGAAUUUUAAGCUUUAGAAACCUAACAUUGUUGAAAGUUGAGAAUUGUAGCAGCUUGACUAAUAUAUUUACUCUGUCCAUGGCUUUGGGUCUUGUAAAGCUCAAACAUUUGGAAUUGAAAAGAUGUAAUUUGGUGGAACAUAUCAUCACAAAAGAAGCAGAAGAGGAAAUAGCAAAGGAUAAUACCAUAUUUCCAUCAAUGGAGUCCAUGAGUCUAGAGUGUUUGCCUAACUUGUCAAGUUUUUAUUCUGCAAGCGAUGUUCUGAAAUGCCCAUCCUUGAAAAGAAUUGAGAUAGUUGGCUGUCCAAACAUGGAGCUAUUGGCUUCUAAAUUUUGCAAAGAACAUGAUCUAAGCAUGAUUGCUGAGGGAAAUGGAGAAAGAAUUGCAGCCUCUUCUGGCGGGAAGGUUGUCAUCCCAAGUUUAGAAGAAUUAAGAGUGGAAUGUAACACCAUAAAGAAUCUGUGUUCUCAAACAUCUCAAGCUGAUUUCUUGUGUGGGCUGAAAGGUAUUGAGUUGACAUGUAUUUCUAGUGACUCUACACUUUUGCCAUCUCAGUUCUUUGAAAGUUUACCCAUUCUGGAAAAACUUGUUCUGAGUGAUGCUUCUUUCGAAGAUAUCAUUUUCUGUGAAGAGAUUAUUGGCGAGGAAAUACGUCCUCAAUCACUUGUGAAAUUGAAAGAACUAAGUUUGUCUAAACUGCCAAGGCUCAAGCAUCUAAGGGACGCCAAACUACUCUCAGUUUUCCAAUCUCUGGAGACUUUAAAUGUAAUGGAAUGUGGUAGAUUGCAAGUGUUAGUGGCAUCCUCUGUUUCUUUCCAAAAUCUAACAACACUGCAGGUAUCAAAUUGCCAAGGUCUAGUAAAUUUGUUGUCUUCUUCAACAGCGAGAAGUCUUGAACGACUUGAAAAAAUGAAGAUAGAGGAAUGUGAACUGAUACAAGAAGUUAUAGUGGCUGAAGUAGAUAAAGAAGAAGAAGAGAAUGAGAUUUGCUUCAACCAACUGAAAUGUUUGGAACUUCGACGUCUACCAAGUCUCUCUAGCUUCUGCUCUGGGAAUUUGACCUUUAAUUUCCCAUCUUUGGAAGAAGUAAUCCUUGUAGAAUGCCCCAAUAUGAAGAUUUUUGCUCAAGAAGUAAGCACGCCGCAGCUGUGGAGAGUUCAAACAGGAGAACAACUUAAAUAUGAUAAAGAAUGGAAAGACAUUAUAUAUUAUUGCAGUUGGGAGUGGAAAGGUACCCUUAAGAACACCAUUCAAGUUAUAUGUGAUUGGGAGUGGGAAGGCAGCCUUAACAACACCAUUGAAGCACUAUUUAAGGAAAAGAAAGCUGAAGAGACGGGGAUAGGCCAGUGUUCAUAUGGGUGAGCUUGAAUAAGGCCAAUGCUCAUAUUCUAUUUCACCAACUUCCUUGACUGCUAUACUUCUUCUCAUUCAAGACAGGUUUUUUGAGCGGAAGUUGAGAAAAGAAACAAAAAGAGACUGAAUUGAAGAAUUCUGGAAUUGAAAGGUUGCAAUCUUUGCCAAACUUGUAGUACAAGGCGAUAGGAAGUUUCAAAAAUAUAAUUUACCACAAAAAUAGGGAUAAAAUAGGAGUAGUAGAAUUUAUUUUAAAUUAUUAAAUUUUAUCUUUUUUGUGCCCGUAUAAAGGUUUCGAGAAUUAAAUCUAGACAUCAUAUUUUCUCCUUCUUCUCCUUCUCUCCUCUCUUGCCGUCGCCCCUGUCUUUUCUUCUCCAUUUUCUUCUUUUCUUUUCUUUUUUUUAGCUUUUGUAAUUUUAUUAUGGCGUUUAGAGGCUAAACAAUUAUUUUCAGUUGAAAGUUAAUUUCAAUUGAGGUUGUAUUCAAGUUGUGAGGUUAUGUGCU